rnacentral:rRNA from 1 species
GACGAACGCUGGCGGCGUGCUUAACACAUGCAAGUCGAACGGUGAAAGCGGAGCUUGCUCCGCUGGAUCAGUGGCGAACGGGUGAGUAACACGUGGGCCACCUGCCCCUCACUUCGGGAUAACUCCGGGAAACCGGGGCUAAUACCGGAUAUGACCUCCUUGGGCAUCCUUGGAGGUGGAAAGUCGUUCGGUGGGGGAUGGGCCCGCGGCCUAUCAGCUUGUUGGUGAGGUAGUGGCCUACCAAGGCGACGAAGGGUAGCCGGCCUGCGAGGGCGACCGGCCACACUGGGACUGAGACACGGCCCAGACUCCUACGGGAGGCAGCAGUGGGGAAUAUUGUGCAAUGGGCGAAAGCCUGACGCAGCAACGCCGCGUGCGGGAUGACGGCCUUCGGGUUGUAAACCGCUUUCAGCAGGGAAGAAGCCGCAAGGUGACGGUACCUGCAGAAGAAGCACCGGCUAACUACGUGCCAGCCGCCGCGGUAA